rnacentral:rRNA from 1 species
UACAGAGGUCCCGAGCGUUGUUCGGAUUCAUUGGGCGUAAAGGGUGCGUAGGCGGCGGGGCAAGUCUGAUGUGAAAUCCCGGGGCUCAACCCCGGAACUGCAUUGGAUACUGCCUUGCUCGAGUACUGGAGAGGGAACUGGAAUUUACGGUGUAGCAGUGAAAUGCGUAGAGAUCGUAAGGAAGGCCGGUGGCGAAGGCGAGUUCCUGGACAGUGACUGACGCUGAGGCACGAAGGCCAGGGGAGCAAACGGG